UACGGAGGGUGCAAGCGUUGUCCGGAUUUAUUGGGUUUAAAGGGUGCGUAGGCGGCUCUGUAAGUCAGCGUUGAAAUAUGGCAGCUUAACUGUCAGACUGGCAUUGAUACUGCAGGGCUUGAGUGAAGUCGAGGUUGGCGGAAUUGACGGUGUAGCGGUGAAAUGCAUAGAUAUCGUCAAGAACACCUAUUGCGAAGGCAGCUAACUAGACUUUAAACUGACGCUGAGGCACGAAAGCGUGGGGGAUCAAACAGG
rnacentral:rRNA from 1 species